CUCGAGGCCAGAUCUUUCCGGUUGAUCCCGCCGGACCCGACUGCUAUCGGAUUGGGACUAAGCCAUGCGAGUCGACCCGCAAGGGUGGCGCACGGCUCAGUAACACGUAGUCAACCUACCCUGAGGACGAGGAUAACCCCGGGAAACUGGGGAUAAACCUCGAUAGGUCAUAGCUCCUGGAAUGGGCUAUGGCUCAAAUCUAUAUGGCCUCAGGAUGGGACUGCGUCCGAUCAGGUUGUUGGUGGGGUAAUGGCCCACCAAGCCUAUAACCGGUACGGGCUCUGAGAGGAGGAGCCCGGAGAUGGGCACUGAGACAAGGGCCCAGGUCCUAUGGGGCGCAGCAGGCGCGAAACCUCCGCAAUGGGCGAAAGCCCGACGGGGUCAGUCCGAGUGGCUCCCGCUAAGGGAGUCUUUUGCCAGCUGUAAACAGGCUGGUGAAUAAGGGGUGGGCAAGCCUGGUGUCAGCCGCCGCGGUAAUACCAGCACCCCGAGCGGUCGGGAUGAUUAUUGGGCCUAAAGCAUCCGUAGCCGGUGUAACAAGUCCUCCGUUAAA
rnacentral:rRNA from 1 species